CGGUGGAGUGAUUUGUCUGGUUAAUUCCGUUAACGAACGAGAUCUCAACCUGCUAAAUAGUUACAUGUAACCUUGGUUACAUGGGCAACUUCUUAGAGGGACUUUGCGUGUCUAACGCAAGGAAGUUUGAGGCAAUAACA
rnacentral:rRNA from 1 species